GACGAACGCUGGCGGUGUGCUUAACACAUGCAAGUGGUGCGACGAACCAGAGCUUGCUCUGGGGCAAAGCCGCGAACGGGUGAGUAACACGUGGGUAAUCUACCCCGAUGACCGGGACAACCCGAGGAAACUCGGGCUAAUACCGGAUGUGGUACGGAGACAUAAGUCUCUUCACUAAAGGUAGCUUCGGCUUCCGAAUUGGGAGGGGGCCGCGGCCCGUUAGAUUGUUGGUGGGGUCAAGGCCUACCAAGGCAACGAUGGGUAGCUGGUCUGAGAGGACGAUCAGCCACACUGGGACUGAGACACGGCCCAGACUCCUACGGGAGGCAGCAGUGGGGAAUCUUGCGCAAUGCGCGAGAGCGUGACGCAGCAACACCGCGUGAGGGAAGAAGGCCUUAGGGUUGUAAACCUCUUUCAGAUGGGACGAAGGUUCUCCGGUGAAUAGCCGAGAGGAUUGACGGUACCGUCAGAAGAAGCUCCGGCUAACUACGUGCCAGCCGCCGCUGUAAAAC
rnacentral:rRNA from 1 species